CCCAAUGUAGGUCCGCCCCUGUGAGUGCAUACCAGUUAAGGUAUAAGACUGAGUAGACAUUAAUUCACUUAGAUCUGUCUUAAGCACUCCUCAUUCGUAGACAAAUUUGUGAAGAAAUUUGUUAUGUUCAGUUCAUCUUCCAAUUUAGCUCCUUCAAGCUGCUUCUCAUAUCAUUUGUUGGUUCUCCCUUUAUACAAUACUUCAAUUUUGAACGUAUGAUCAUUCCUUUCAGCUCAUCAGACUUGCUCAUUCUUUUCUUUCAAAAUUCAGGUUCUCAAUGAUGAUUUUGGGAUGACACAUGAUGUUAGGUGUAUUUAUACACUUUUCCGCUAUCUUUUACCCAUACUUAUACUGUAUUUUAGAGCUAAAUGCAUUAAAUACACCUAAUAUCUAUUAACUAUGUGAUAUGGGACUAAUUUGUGCUUUAUUGUGGAAUCUAGGUGGUUUAAGUUGAAAAUGCUACAGUGUGAAGAUGAAGAGAUUUGGAGCAAAAUUGAAGAAGAGGAAAAAGAAAAGAAGGUCACGUUGAAGUCUUUGGGGUACAACAAGAACCAAUGAAGGGCAAUCCGAGCAAUUUUGGCUGAUUCUGAGGCAGUGCGGGUUGGACGAGUGAGCGGAAGGAGGUUGCAACACUUGAAGGCAAAAUACGACCACUGAAAGGUCUCAUGCAUUGGUUGUGCGUCGCACAUCCAGCGCACAAAAUACCCCUUUCUGAUUUUCAGACCUGUUAUGCAUUGGCUGUGCGGAGCACAGCGGAUGCACAGACAUAGUCAUGCGAUGGCCAUGCAACGCAUGACCAAAGCACAAGAGGCGUCAGUUCUCCUAAGUUGAUCGGGAUUGGGCCCACUUAUCUCACAUUUGCCCUAGCUUAUAAAUAGGCGUUUUUACAUUAGAAUGGAGGACUUUGUACCUAGAGAGAGUAGGAGCCGCCGUGGAGGCCGGAGAUUAUUGGGUUUUAUCUUUUCUUCUCCUUAUUACUAGUUUGUAUAUUUUUUUUGAAUGAUUUGUUACUUUUCCUCCAUGUCUAUGUGGAGCUAAACUUCUCAUUCUAGGGUUGUGGUAAACCAUGAUUAUUGAUGUUUGGUGAUUAUUUCUUAUCUUA